rnacentral:rRNA from 1 species
AACCGUAUGAAAUCAGACCUACUGGUAGGUAAUCAAUCUUUCCCUUGGGAAGGAUGCACUUGCCUGCUAUGUAUGCCAGCGACAUUUUGGUUGGGAGGAAAAAAAUAGAGGGAAUGUAGCCUAGGCUUCGGUUUAGGUGUUAUAGACUUUUAUAAAAUACUCUCGGCUGGAAUGAGGAACGCAGCAAACCGUAAGGCGAAGAUUCUAGUCGCUUGGGGGGAAUAAUUAGAGAAUUUCUGCUUCGGGUGGUGCUUUGAUUAUUACUUUCAACUCGGUUGGAGUUCUUUUAAUUUGCUUAGGUUGUUGGCUUAAUGAUUUUAUAUGA